AGAUUCUCAGGAACCACACCAGGAUUUCGGAUUUAGAAUUGAUGGUGGUUGAGCCUAGACUCUGUAUUUUUAACAAGCUCCCUAUGUGAUUCUUUUUCAUGCUAAAAUUUGAGAGCAUCUGGCCUCCAGAUCAAGUGCAAACACUUCAGAAUUGCUGGUAAGUACCAUCUGACUCUGGCUUAGCGCCUUCUUUCCCUCAAUUCUUUCUACUCUUUCACCUCCCCUCUGCACUCCAGGUACGCCAAACUUUUUGCAGGUCCCCCUAAUACCAAGCUUUCUUACGUGUUAGCAACUUCAUAGAUGCUUGGUCUUCCACGUGAAGACCGCUGUAUGUCUGGCAAGUUGCUAUGUGCAUGUUCAUGUGAACGUGUGUAUUGCACACCUUGAGCUCUCAUGAGACUAAAAGUUUCUCCCAGGAAAAUGCAAGCUACGUAGCCAGAGGAACUGUGUGUUCUGAAAUCUCCAUUUUAAAAAACACCAUUCCAAGUUCAGGCUGUGUGCAAAACCAAGUUAUGGCUGAGAAAAAUGGAAUUAAUGUGAACUUGGUGUGCACUCAGUACAUAGGCACUUGAAUCUUUUAGCAACUUCUCUGUGGUUCGUGACUGAUUCUUUGGUUGACAAUUCAUUUCAGCUUUUUGGAGGGAGAUUUCAUGUUUGCUGGCAUCUCUACCAAUAAGCACACCAAUCGAAGUGGAAUUCAAAAAGGCUGUUUUGGUCACUUACCAAACCUCUCAUCAGAGAAAUGUUGGAAGAAGUAAUUUAAUUGAAAUCUCUAUAUGAUGAGAAGACUGUGCUCAGAGAUGGUAAGAAACUCAGAAGAGGCACCUGGUGAAUAGGAGAUGUCUGGAACUUGAAUGCAGGAAGAAGUGGAUACUUUCAACGGGAGAAACUCGAGCAUCAGAUUUGCUCCUUGGAGCAUUAAUAAAAGGGCUCAGUUAGCCUCAUCUCAUUAUUUUACUAUGAGUAUUGACUUUGGCCUAGAGUCAUGUAUAGAUAAAAUGGUGCAAGGGCUUGUCCUAAGUGAUUACUCAGAAUUACAAAUCAUUUCACGUGUAACUGAAUACUGCCGUCUAGCUGGCACCCUGCCCCUUGCUUCUCCCCCUCCCCUUCCUCUAAUAGGAGCGCAAAUCCAGCUUUGUCUGAAGAGGCAAUUAAUCUUAUUCACUGAAAGCCGAAUUUUAAUUCACCAGCAUGUGGAGGACAUAUUUGCCUAUCACACAGAAUUAGUUUAACAGAGAAUUUAGACAAAAAAGAUAUUGGAGGUCUUGGCAUUCUUUGGCAGGCAAAAUAUCUUGUAGGUACAUUCCUUUAUUAGCCAUCUACAUACUACAAAUAAGCUUCUUGUAAUAAUAACUCUAUUAGGGUAAACUGGGUUUAUUUUGUAUUUGAAAGUGGCUGAUUACAUUUUAUUUCAUGUAAAGAAACCCACAAGAUAUGUGUGUUUUGGAGGAAAAUGAACAUAAGGUGAGAGAGAUAAAUUUUAGUUUUCUAGAGAUUCUAAAAGGCUAUUAUUUUUAAGGGCACAGUUUAAAGAUGAUCAGAAAAAUAAAGGGACACAUAAAAAUCCUAGACAGCCUACAUACAUCCAAAUCUAAUCCUGCAGAAGGGUAAGUGGUAAGGUAUGAGGUAGACACCAUUGCCAGCACCACACUAGGACUCUCAUGUGAAAUCUGUGAGGGCAAAUACCGGAUUUCCCCAGUGCUUCUGCUGUGCUCUAUUUUAAUUUUCCCCUGAGCAAGGCCUUAGUGUUUUAUCUGAAGUUUGUUUCACAUGUAGACAAAGUGUAAAAAAGAAAAACUUCCUGAAGCAGUUUCUUAAUUCAAGAGAUUUAGACAGGAAUAUGAUUUAAUGCAUGUCCAUGCUUG
rnacentral:lncRNA from 1 species